rnacentral:rRNA from 1 species
UUCAGCAGCCAAACCACCAGCAGGUCAGACCCAGUAACCCACCUGAAGCUAAGCAGGUUUGGGCCUGGCCAGGACUUGGCUGGGAGACCAUCUAGGAAAGCUGGGCUGCUGCUAGAA